GGCCCCGUAGCUCAGCCUGGAUAGAGCAACUGCCUUCUAAGCAGGAGGUCGAGGGUUCAAAUCCCUCCGGGGCCG
rnacentral:tRNA from 1 species